UUUUGCGUUCCUGAAAGAUGCUAGUUUGAGUCAAGGGACUUCUCGAGUCACUUACUACAGCUAUAAAGCUUAGAUAAGAGCCUCUUACUGAACCAUCUAUGGAGCUGUUUGGCUUGAAUGGUCUCUGGAUGUACAACGCAGAUGCUCCCAGCUGCAUCGAUUAUGCAAUUACUGGUCUCGAGUUGUUUUCCACGAUAAAGGCUCCAGAGCUAGCUCUGUCAUCUAGCUGUACUUCAAACUUCAAAGAAGAUCUUUAAAUUGGUUCCACAAAGGGAACCUUCUUCACCUUUUACUCUGGUAGUUUGUAGCUAAUACUGCAGCAUCUACAGCAGCAUCAAGCAACAACAACAACUUCCUUUACUUAGAAUAGACUACUGAUAACUGUAGUCCGAGUAUUUCUUGCUGAUUGCUAAGCAGCCGGCAAUUCGUGUUCGUUACUGACUUUUGUCAUUGACUUCGCUUCUGACUUAAUCGACUGAUAUGCUUGAUUUGGCUCCAGCUGCCGCCUUUACUGGUUUAAGAUUUUCUAGAAUUUGACUUAGAAGCUUCCGUCUUGCACAAAGCAGAUGUAUGGAGUCCAAGGAACGUUUGAAAAUCUUAAUUAAUCUUCACUUAUCAUCGAAAUCAUCAUGAGCAGUUCUCUUGCUCGCUCUCGCUCGCUCUCUCUCCUCAAAUCAAUGAACUUUCUGAAUCGUACUGAAGUCCAGUCUCUAGAAGACACUUGAAUAUGCUGCAGAUCUCAACUCAGAAUAGCGGAGAAAGUAUUCAAAAACACGGUACGCCUUACUUGACUGCAAUUAUUUGCUCAACAGAUCUAUACAUAUGCCUACAAUGUGGUUGCAACAAAAUACGAAAACAAUUUUUGAGAAUUGUUUCAUUGUACUAUGAAGAUGGAUCCAAUGUAUUGUCCGUAGAGUUAUAACUUGUUUAUCUGAAGCUUUUUGUUCGUAAAGUUAUUACUGGUAAUUGAAUUGACGCAAAACUA